rnacentral:rRNA from 1 species
GGGGGAUAGCCCGCCGAAAGGCGGAUUAAUACCGCAUAAGCUAAUAGAGUGGCAUCGCUUAGUUAUAAAGAUUUAUUGGUUUUGGAUGGGGUUGCGGGUCAUUACCUAGUUGGAAAGGUAACGGCUUACCAAGGCGACAAUGACUAGGGGAGCUGAGAGGCUGGCCCCCCACACGGGCACUGACAUACGGCCCCGACUCCUACGGGAGGCAGCACUAUGGAAUAUUGGGCAAUGGUCGAGACCCUGUCCCAGCCGUGCCGGCGUGCAGGAAGAAGGCUUUCUGAGUCGUAAACUGCUUUUGACAGGGAAGAAUAACCUGUACGUGUACAGUGAUGACGGUA